AUAAACGGUAUUCUAGGGGAAUAUCCAAACCAACGGAUAGAAAUAACUUAUUGCGGCCCACAUCAUAUCAUCCUCCUGGUUUGUUUAAGGGCUUGCCCCGGAGCCAGUUGCUACGGGUCAGGCGCAUAGCAACCACUGAGGAAUUAUAUGAUAAUGCUUCUGCACAGAUGAUUGAAAAGUUCUUGGCUAAAGGAUACGAGGAAGGUACCCUAGAGAAACACAGACAAGAGGUGCGGGCUAUUCCUAGACAACAGUUACUAGAGAAAAAGAUGGUUGAAACACGCAAAUCCCCUAGAAUACCGUUUAUUUCCACUUUUGAUGUAAACUCAAAACGGAAUUGUGGACACUGCAGUGGGAUUAUCCCUGGGGAGUAUGUCACACAUCCUUUGCAAGGUUCUAAACAUUCGAUUAAAGGUUUUUUCACCUGUGACACCAGCAAUGUGAUCUAUUGCCUGAAAUGCCCCUGUGGUCUGGCCUAUGUGGGCCAGACAUCCAGAUCCAUUAAAACAAGAUUAUAUGAACAUAAGUCCACAAUCAGGAAUUAUCAACUACCUGCCGUUGGUCAAACAACUUUAGGGACACAAGCAACUACUACGGAUAAAGAAAAGGAGUUGGUUAAAACUAAACGAGAAACCCUUCUAGCCAAACACUUUUUCACACAUGGCCACAGGGUGGCGCAGCUCCGCUGGCAGGUGUUAGAAAAAGUUAUGUGUAAACAGGGCCAAGAUAUCAAAAGAGCUCUACUACAAAGGGAGUGCUAUUGGAUCUGGGCAUUGCAAAGCAGGGCCCCGAAGGGGCUUAACGAGGAGUACAAUAUGUCGUGUUAUUUAUAAAAUUAUGGAAUGGUAGAAAUAUAUACUAAUGCUAUUCCUUCUCCUUUCAGAUAAAAACUUUGUUAUGAGAUCCCUUCAGGGACAGAUAUUCACCUUUAUAUUUCAUCACUUCCAGCACUACGUGAAGUCAAAAUAAAGGACUACCACUUAUGGACUUUAACUGAUCUUUUAUUAUGUUCUUUUUGAUGGGCAUUUUUGAUAAAAAUAUUUUCACUAAAUUUUUCUACUAAACAGGUUUUUACUGCAAUAUCUUUUAACAUUGUCCUUUUUAACUGCAUUUUCCACUAUGAAAUUUUAUAUCAGUGUAUUGUUAAUUGGCACCUGGAUGCAUAUUUUUUCACUUUAACAUUGCAUUUUAAAUGGCAUCUUGAUAUGUAAAAAUCUUUUUCAAUGCAAAGUACUUUUUUCACAGCAAUGCUUGUUAAAUAUGCUAAUUUGUUAAUUGCACACCCUUUAAAUCAUGUCUGCACUUGUCCACACUAUGCUUGACAAAGGGGCGUGACCCCGAAACGUUGCACUACUGCAUAAUAAAAUUGCAAGGGCUUGCCCUGCUACUACAA